UUAAUUUUAGAUUAUUUCGUCUCGAGAAAAAAAAAAUGGUGAAUGUUUGUGUUUAUUAACAGAAAUUCCAAGUAGUUGUCAAUAAUCCCAUAAAUAGGGACCAAGCACACAAGAGCUGAGGAUGAGGACAGAGGUGCAUCGUGCUGGUAAUUUUCCACCACAAAGAGGGAUGAAUCCGUUAUAAGCCAACCAAAAUCCCACGACCCCACCACACCCUCUCACUUCUCAGCUACAGUAUCCACACAGUGAAAAGAAAACGAGUCAGUGAGAGAGAGUCCGAGCGUCAGCGAUCAGAAAAUUCCGAGGCGAAAGAAAACACUUUCACUUGAAGACCACGCCUUCUUCCUCGAAGAUCCUUUCAAUGAUGAUGCUUUAACCGCCGCCCAGAUUAAUCAGAUUAUUCUGAUGCAUGGAUUCAGAAGAACACACAAGCGCUCCAAGGCACGUGAUUUAACCUCUAUUUUCUUAAUUUUUAAUUUUUAGAGCAACACAGCGAUCGACACUGGAAGACAAUUUCUUACCGUACGAUGACGCAUCACUCUCGCUCGGUGAAGCGAAACAAGACUUGGAAUCUAUGAAAUGGCAGGAGUGUUCAGACCAAUCUAUCGAGACCGUGCUUUUCAAUCACAAAACUAAUGAUGAAGUCAAAUCCAACGGUCAUGACGAUGCUUUGAAGAGUUUUGUGCGGUCGUCGCAAGAAGGGGAGAAGAUCUAGGAGGAUGAGAGGUGUGAGUAGCAUUGUGGAUGAUAGUGGUGCGAUGCAUGGGCGUCCUGGUGGCGGUACUGACGUGGCUAUUGGCUGUGUAAAUCAGUGGGGUCCGUCUUUGUAUGUGGAUACGGACGCUGGGAGUUCUGAUUCGUGUGGGCGAGAGCUAGUUGUCAAUGUAAGUAAAAACUGAAAAAGAUUGAUGAUUUGCAUGAUUAGAGUAGCGUUACCAUAUCAUGGUCCCAUAGGAUUGGAGGGUUAGAGAGUAGCUGGUUGGUUGGUCUUUGUAUCCUGGUCUCAUUUUCAUUUUUCGCGUUUGCUCCUAUUCCAGAAACUUAACAUAAAA